AAGGAUUUGGUCAACAAGUGCAGAGAAGCUGCAAGCCCUUCCAUAACUUUGGGAGUCUUCAACAGCCACUGGCGUAUCUAUUGAUUUACGGUGCUUUUAAAAUGGGAACAUCGCAACUAUGACGCAGACAAAUAGCUACUCCUGAUAUGCCAGAAGACCUUGCCACCUCGGGCAGAAUACCCCUAUGGAAACAGGAGCUGGGCUCCUCCAGGGCUGUCACUUUCGGUGACAGGCUCUCAGCAAGCCACAGUCUUCACCUCUCCUGCCUGCCACCCGGACUGGGUGCCAGUGUUUUCCUGCUCCUGGUAGGCAGUGGGGUAUUCAAUGCUUCAGACACUUGGAGAAAUGUGCCUUCUGUCAUUUCAGAAACGGGCUGAGCAGUGUGGAGUGCCAAUACCUCCUGAGAGACUGCAAGCCAGGGCAGAGAUCUACGCAAGUGUGAGUCACAGGCGAGUCCUUGGCAUCUCAACUAGAUCAGUAUCCCCUGAUCAUCUCCAUGCCUUUUUGUAAAGAUGCCAACUAUACUCAAUUAGGGGUUCACCCUGCUCCAGGAUGACAGCAGCUCCAUAAUUACACUCAAAUAAGAGAUCCUUGGGAUGCAAAUGUGUGAUGGGGGGGGCACAGUGCAUGGGCCUAAAACUCUGGCAUUCCUGCAGAGCCCAGCACCUUGGAAGAUCCUAGGUUCUGCUGGAACACUCCCAGCGACACCCAGGGAGCCGGUGGGGUCCUUGGUUCAUUUGACGCCAGUCCCUCUGAGGGACCCUUCCAAAGCCCUGGCUUUCACGGUUUAAACGGAGCUUAGAGCUGUAGCCAUGGUUCUAAUUAAGGGUUGACAGGGCAUGUCGUGACAUCAUCAAUAAAC